rnacentral:rRNA from 1 species
UACGUAGGGAGCAAGCGUUGUCCGGAAUCAUUGGGCGUAAAGCGCGCGUAGGUGGCCAUGUAAGUCCGCUGUGAAAGUCAAAGGCUCAACCUUUGAAAGCCGGUGGAUACUGCAUGGCUAGAGUACGGAAGAGGCGAGUGGAAUUCCUGGUGUAGCGGUGGAAUGCGCAGAUAUCAGGAGGAAUACCGGUGGCGAAGGCGGCAUCCUGGACCGACAUUGACGCUGAACGGCGAAAGCUAGGGGAGCAAACGGG